rnacentral:rRNA from 1 species
UACGGAGGGUGCAAGCGUUAUCCGGAUUCACUGGGUUUAAAGGGUGCGUAGGUGGGUCUGUAAGUCCGUGGUGAAAUCUCCGAGCUUAACUUGGAAACUGCCAUGGAUACUAUAGGUCUUGAAUACUGUGGAGGUCAGCGGAAUAUGUCAUGUAGCGGUGAAAUGCUUAGAUAUGACAUAGAACACCAAUUGCGAAGGCAGCUGGCUACACAAAUAUUGACACUGAUGCACGAAAGCGUGGGGGAUCAAACAGG